UACGGGGGGGGCAAGCGUUGUUCGGAAUUACUGGGCGUAAAGCGCGUGUAGGCGGCUCUUCAAGUCAGACGUGAAAUCCCUCGGCUUAACCGGGGAACUGCGUCUGAUACUGGAUGGCUUGAGGUUGGGAGAGGGAUGCGGAAUUCCAGGUGUAGCGGUGAAAUGCGUAGAUAUCUGGAGGAACACCGGUGGCGAAGGCGGCAUCCUGGACCAAUUCUGACGCUGAGGAGCGAAAGCCAGGGGAGCAAACGGG
rnacentral:rRNA from 1 species